rnacentral:rRNA from 1 species
AUUGAACGCUGGCGGCAUGCCUUACACAUGCAAGUCGAACGGUAACGCGGGGCAACCUGGCGACGAGUGGCGAACGGGUGAGUAAUACAUCGGAACGUGCCCAGUAGUGGGGGAUAGCCCGGCGAAAGCCGGAUUAAUACCGCAUACGACCUACGGGUGAAAGCGGGGGAUCGAAAGACCUCGCGCUAUUGGAGCGGCCGAUGUCAGAUUAGGUAGUUGGUGGGGUAAAGGCCUACCAAGCCUACGAUCUGUAGCUGGUCUGAGAGGACGACCAGCCACACUGGGACUGAGACACGGCCCAGGCUCCUACGGGAGGCAGCAGUGGGGAAUUUUGGACAAUGGGCGCAAGCCUGAUCCAGCCAUGCCGCGUGCGGGAAGAAGGCCUUCGGGUUGUAAACCGCUUUUGUCAGGGAAGAAACGCUCUGGGCUAAUACCCCGGGGUAAUGACGGUACCUGAAGAAUAAGCACCGGCUAACUACGUGCCAGCAGCCGCGGUAAUACGUAGGGUGCGAGCGUUAAUCGGAAUUACUGGGCGUAAAGCAUGCGCAGGUGGUUAUGCAAGACAGAUGUGAAAUCCCCGGGCUCAACCUGGGAACUGCAUUUGUGACUGCAUGGCUAGAGUGCGGCAGAGGGGGAUGGAAUUCCGCGUGUAGCAGUGAAAUGCGUAAAUAUGCGGAGGAACACCGAUGGCGAAGGCAAUCCCCUGGGCCUGCACUGACGCUCAUGCACGAAAGCGUGGGGAGCAAACAGGAUUAAAUACCCUGGUAGUCCACGCCCUAAACGAUGUCAACU